UGAAGAUGCAGUGGCGGGGUCUAUAUUUCUAUGGAGCUUGCUGACAGCAUUCGUGAUCUGUGGAUUGAUAGCAUUUAUAUAUAUUACGUUACAGAAGAAAUCUAAAUUGAAAUGUUUGCAUUCAAAAGGACCUGCAGGAGGUGAUGGUGAACAGCUGCAAACAAUUACUGUAUUUGCUGAGCUAAUGUAGGAAUCAAGCAAGAAACUGGAUUUGGAAAGAGAGAACACGUUUCAUCAGUAUAAAGAGGCCUUUGAUAAAGCUCUUUUGUUUGGUCCUGGAGACUUCCACUUUCAAACUUACCAACAAAGAUUACAAACAAGAACUAAUAUCUAAUAAUAGUAUUACUAAGAGUUAACAAAUGUUUUAGGAAACUCUUUCUUUAUAGUUUUACCUUUUACCAUUUGUG